UUACAGGAGGCAAAUCUAUCCUUUCUUUGUA
rnacentral:piRNA from 1 species